rnacentral:rRNA from 1 species
UACAGAGGGGGCGAGCGUUAUUCGGAAUUAUUGGGCGUAAAGGGCGCGUAGGCGGCUUUGCAAGUGACGGGUGAAAUCCCUCGGCUUAACCGAGAAACUGCCUGUCAGACUGUAAGGCUUGAGACCGGGAGAGGUGAGUGGAAUUCCCAGUGUAGCGGUGAAAUGCGUAGAUAUUGGGAGGAACACCAGUGGCGAAGGCGGCUCACUGGACCGGUACUGACGCUGAGGUGCGAAAGCGUGGGGAGCAAACAGG